CACGAAGGUUGGCUAAUCCUGGUCGGACAUCAGGAGGUUAGUGCAAUGGCAUAAGCCAGCUUGACUGCGAGCGUGACGGCGCGAGCAGGUGCGAAAGCAGGUCAUAGUGAUCCGGUGGUUCUGAAUGGAAGGGCCAUCGCUCAACGGAUAAAAGGUACUCCGGGGAUAACAGGCUGAUACCGCCCAAGAGUUCAUAUCGACGGCGGUGUUUGGCACCUCGAUGUCGGCUCAUCACAUCCUGGGGCUGAAGUAGGUCCCAAGGGUAUGGCUGUUCGCCAUUUAAAGUGGUACGCGAGCUGGGUUUAGAACGUCGUGAGACAGUUCGGUCCCUAUCUGCCGUGGGCGCUGGAGAACUGAGGGGGGCUGCUCCUAGUACGAGAGGACCGGAGUGGACGCAUCACUGGUGUUCGGGUUGUCAUGCCAAUGGCACUGCCCGGUAGCUAAAUGCGGAAGAGAUAAGUGCUGAAAGCAUCUAAGCACGAAACUUGCCCCGAGAUGAGUUCUCCCUGACUCCUUGAGAGUCCUGAAGGAACGUUGAAGACGACGACGUUGAUAGGCCGGGUGUGUAAGCGCAGCGAUGCGUUGAGCUAACCGGUACUAAUGAACCGUGAGG
rnacentral:rRNA from 1 species